rnacentral:lncRNA from 1 species
CCAGCAGCCCCCUGGAAGGGCAGGCCGAGGGCGUAGAGACCACUGGUUCGCAGGAGGCCCCAGGCGGUGGACACAGCCCCUCCCCUCCUGACCAGCAGCCCAUCUACUUCAGAGAGUUCCGCUUCACGUCUGAGGUCCCCAUCUGGCUGGAUUACCAUGGCAAGCACGUCACGAUGGACCAGGUGGGCACUUUCGCUGGCCUCCUCAUCGGCCUGGCCCAACUCAACUGCUCCGAGCUGAAGCUAAAGCGGCUCUGUUGCAGGCACGGGU